CGCGAUUGGCCAGCGUCGCGUGACGCACGGCCGAGCUCGGCGUCCAUUGGUCCGGCCUGCCCGGCGGGGCGUUUCAGGACCGUGGCUAUGGAGUCCGGCGUGGCAGCGGCAAUCCCUGGCCAAAGUGUGCCUUCAGCCAAAAGCAGAACUGGAAACAUCCUAAGUGGGCCGGUAACGAGGCUAGCUCUGUCGACUAGUUCAAGACCCCUGAGCGCUUUGGGCCUGAGGUUCCUCAGCUUCCAAGUGAAAGGCUUCGACUUGGCAUUCUAAGAGACAAUCUCUGUGACCAUCAGUUUCCUCAUCUGUAAAACUGGCAUCAUGAUAACUUUGAAGCUCUAUAAGGAACGACCCAGGCCAGAAACCUGCCAAAUCCUGUCCAGUACUAUGAUCUACAAAACGGAUCUGCCUCAGGAAAGCCAGGGAAGGUGGGGCUGGAUGGAGUGUGUUCCAGCUGGAACAUCUGCUCUGGGCCAGGCACAGUGGGGAAAGCCAAGGUGGAUUCACUAUGGCCCUGAUCUCAUGAUUGGGAGACAAGAACUUGCUGUGUUGCCCAGGCUGGUCUUGAACUUCUGGCCUCAAGAAGAUCCUCCCACCUCGACCUCUCAAAGUGUUGGUAUUACAGACGUGAGCCACUGGGCCCCACUGUGUUCUGUUCUUAUUGCCCAUGACAAUUAAAGUUAGCUCUAUCUCAUCUCCAUGACCAUCACAAACACAUGCCAUUAAUUUUGCUCACCCAAAUCUCUAUGCUCUGACUUCUGGGCACCUAGUACUGGCUAAUGAGCUGUGAGCUGGGCCAGAGCAUAGAAUAGCUGGUGCGAGACCUUUUGAGAGUUCUAUCUCCCUCUGUCAUGGCAACCAGCCAUAUUCAAAAUGGCAACCAGCAAUAUUCAAAAUGAGGGCUACUGCCAGGCAUGCUGGCUCAUGCCUGUAAUCCCAG
rnacentral:lncRNA from 10 species